CUGUGCUAAGAGACUCGGGACAGACUGAGCAGUGAUGAGAGCACCAGCAGGGCCAGAGCACUGCAGACCCCCUUCAAGAUGAAAGCAAGAGAAUUUGAAAAGUCUAGAAAGAAGCUAUUUUGCAUUUAUCAGUUUGCAGAGCUCUCUGAACAUUCAGCUCAUUUCGUCCUCCUGCCACCUGGCCCUGGGAGCUGCAGCUGCAUCUAUGAUGCCCAUCUAGACUCCACCAGGCUGCAGCGCCACCUGUCUGCAGAACAGAGCUGCAGAGAUGACUACCACUGAUAAGAAUGCAUCUGUGACCACCUAGGGAUGCCCAUUCUGUCCCAGACACUGCGCUAGCACUUGAUGCACACAUGACCUCAUUUUCUUCACAACUACCAUAUAAGAUGGGGGUCUCAUCAGGUUGCACAAGCUGAUCUCAAACGCCUGGCCUCAAGUGAUCCUUCUGCUUUGGUCUUCCAAGGUGCUAG
rnacentral:lncRNA from 1 species